rnacentral:rRNA from 1 species
AAAUUGAAGAGUUUGAUCAUGGCUCAGAUUGAACGCUGGCGGCAGGCCUAACACAUGCAAGUCGAACGGUAACAGGAAGAAGCUUGCUUUUUUGCUGACGAGUGGCGGACGGGUGAGUAAUGUCUGGGAAACUGCCUGAUGGAGGGGGAUAACUACUGGAAACGGUAGCUAAUACCGCAUAAUGUCGCAAGACCAAAGAGGGGGACCUU